UAGUUAUCGGCAGAUACAACAUCUUCGUUUUGUAUGUGGUGCUGAGGAUCAAACCCUGGCCGCACGCAUGCCAGGCGAGCGCGCUACCACUUGAGCCACAUCCCCAGGCCUGAAAUUGGGAUUUAAAUUUACAAUGGUUUCUCCAUUUCUUCCCGGCCUGGGAGCGCCCCCUGGUGCCCCUAGGUUUUUUUUUUUUAAUUAAAAAAUUUUAUUGAUGUAUUUAGUGAGAGUCAUUGUUACGUGUUCAUACAUGCACAUGAUCUAAUAAGACACUUUGGUCAGUAUAAUUCUCCGGUGUUUCCCUUCUUCCUCCCCUCCUCCCUCCCUUUGGCCCCUUUCCUCUACUGGUCUCCCUUUGAUUUUCAGGAGGUGCCCUGCCCCCCAUAACUUUCUUUCCCUUUUCCUCUCUAGCUUCCACAAUGAGAGAAAACAUACAACCCUUGACUGAUAAUGGUCUCAAGUUCCAUUCGUUUACCUGCCAAUGACAUAAUUUCAUUCUCUUUUGUAGCUGAAUAAAACUCCAUUGUGUAUAUAUACACCAUAUUUUCUUUAUUCAUUCAUCCACUGACAUACACGUAGGCUGGGUACGCAUAUAUCUGUAUAGUGUGAUGACUUGAAUUCUUUAGGAUAAAUACCGAAGAAUGGGAUAGCUGGGUUAUAUGUGAUUCCAUGCCUAGUCUUUUGAGGAACCUCCAUACUGAUUUCCAUAAUGGUUGCACUAAUUUACAAUUCCACCAACAGCAUGAAAGUUCUCUACCCCUCUAUAAUGGCAUCCCUAGUUUGAAUUGUUCCCUCAUCAGAUAUGGAAUAGGUGGAAAGAUAGGGAGCCGAUUGAAUUGCAAAGCUGGGCUCUUGGAGGUAAUGUGUAGAUAGAGACCUUUGAGAGUAAACAGAGAUUGCACCAUAGAAUUUUCUUCUCUCUUUGUCAUAAUUACUGUGUCUGUUGUGCUUUGGAAACUAGCACAGAAGUCAGGUAAGCUAGGGACUGAAGAUGGAUGAUAUUAGAAAGGUCCAUGUGUUUAAGAAACAGGCACUCU
rnacentral:lncRNA from 1 species